rnacentral:lncRNA from 1 species
GAAAUAAUUGGGGAUUUAGAUCCAUACGCAAUUCAGUCAGAAUUGGAUUUUACAGUUAAGUGCAGUCCAUCAAGUUACUAUUAUAGAUAUGUAUUUAUACAGAUCUGGUGGGGUCUCACAGUUGCUACUCUAAGCAGCAGAUGAAAGCAUACAAAAGCCUUCAGGCACAUAAAUAUUUUACAGCUGGAUUUUUUUUGAAUGGAGUAAAAAUUGUUAAUGAUUUCCUGAUUUCCAUAUUAUUGUUGGAAAGGUGAAGCAUUUCCAAAAAUCUAAUGCUAAAUGACUAAAUGCUUGGGUGGGGUGAUAGCCAGUUCUGAUGACAUAGCAAAUGCACAUUGUAUGCAUAUGGCCGGUAAUAGUAAAGUAUGCCCAGGGCAAGACAGACGAAGAACCCAAUGCAUGUACAUAUGUUACAGCUACAUGGUUUGGAGAUAGCAACAUAUGCAUUCUCUGAUGAAAAACUAAUGAGUUUUGAAACUGUUCGGUCAGAGUGCUUGUUGCGCUCACUAAACGAACUGAAAUAUGAGAUGGCUUUGGCACUGUGUUGCAGCGAUAUGAAAAUGGUUAUUUAUUUUUAAUUAUAAUGUACUUCUUCAUCAUGAGUAAUUAUGUAUUGGUCUUUUAGAUGUGUAUUUAUUUUUGUAAUUAGUAUCAACUUGUAAUGAUAAUAUACAUUUAUCGUUUAAGGUAUGACUAUGUUUUGACUCUAAAAUAAAUGUUUUA